CCCCGCUGCAGUCCGUAAUGGACUGGCCCGAGGUCUCCGCACAAACAAGCGGCUGCCGGAAAAGUGUAGGUUAGUUGCGUGUAGUCUCUUUGCCAAAGAAAUUUGACAAAGUUAAAAAGAUGUUUGGUGGCUUGUACUGUGGUUAGGACCCUAUAUGUCCUGUUGAUGAAGUUAGGUGCUGUUCUGAGCAUUAUUUGUGGCUAUAAAGUGGUGUUUUGGUUGAGGUUUGUUUAUGGCUCCUCAGACUGCUGUGUAUUGCUAUCCUGUAGUUGUUACUAAAGUUGGUAAAACUAGAGAAGCAAGCGGUCUGCAACGUUCAACUCUCGGGGGGUUGUCUAACUCAGUGUUACAGUGUGUUUGACCCUACAUUCAUUAUACACUGGAAUAUCCUUUAAGCCCACACAGUGACUUCUGCUACAGAGUUCUGUCUGUUUCUAAUAUACUGCCCAAAGACCUAAAGAUCAGGGCCAUCCAGUACUGGUUUUGGUCCUUAUCCCUUUUGUACAGAGUUUAUUUCAGACUCUGAAUCUUUCAAUCAUAUUAUGUACUUUAGAUGAUGAAAUCCACUCAUUCUCUGACAAUUUACACUCAGGAACUUUAUUCUGAAAUUGUUCAAGUAUCAGCUCACACAGUCUCUCACAGACUGAAGUAUCGAAUUGAAAUGAAGUAUAGUCUUACUCACUGACAGUCUCUCAGGAUGAACCGCUCACAGCUCUCUUUACAGCAGCAGACAUGUCUUCAAAAAAAGAUCAGUGUUUGGUCGUCUCUGGUCACAACUGUCACAAACUCUGAAAGCCCUUUUCCGUGGUAACAGACAGGAUGGCGCCAGCAUGGGACGCUGCUCAUGUAGCAUGUGGUUAAGGACGCUGAAAGAAAAAACACUCAGUCUCACAGAAACACAAACUAUAAACCCAACAGAUCCACAAAGAGCCAGAUCUCAUUCUUGAGAUGAAUAUAUAAAUAUUUUUGUUUAUAAAUAAUCCUCAUGUGCUUGGUGUUAGAGUGACUAUUUCACUGCAACCAAAUAUCAGAUAUAUUUGAUAUUUAUGAUUUCAGGUCAGACUGCCUCUGAUGGGAUACUAGCAGAAACCAAUAAAAGGAGCAGACUGGGAAACAUCCCCAACCAGGAAUACAACUCACAACCAUGUCAGCAAGUAUAAACAGGUGUGUGCUGUUACUCUGUGAUUUUCUUCUCAAAGUGAGUAUUUACAGUUUAUAUAAUCUGGCUGUAAUUUAUAUGCAUGGCAGGAGAGACGAUAAAAGCUGUUUUUCUUUUGUGAUUGAAGGCCGUCUGAUCGAUUCUUGGUGUCAGCUCAUGCACUGAGAGAAAAUUAUCCACCUUAACUAUGACUGUAUGAUAGCAGCACAGUGAAUUUCAUCAGUCUAACUACACCUCUGGAGUUAUGGUACAAAACACCAGAGUCUUAAUAAUGUCUCAUGAAGACAUAACACAACUCAUAAG